GAAGUGUUUUGUAAAAACUUUACAAGUCAGAGGGAUUAUUUGCUCAAACAGCAACCAGUGCAAACAUAUUUUGCUGGACUCUAAGAAGGAGAAAGAAAACAAAAGAGGAUACUGUGGGUGUUGAAGAGGAGAAGGCCCCGCUGAAAAAAAUCGUGACAUCACGCCCAUUUAGAAUCUUACCACCACUUUGAUCCUUUGAGCCUUUGAUCCUAAAAACCCAUAAAUAGGAGUGAGAAGCAACAACUUUUAGUUCGUUGUUCGCAGCAUUUAUGUUCGCAGCAUUGAAACGUUUGACAGAGAAGCCUUUCAAAACAAUUGGAUCCUUUUCAGAGUGACUUUUUACACUUUCCAUCAUGUCUCUGAAAAAACACACAAGAAAAGAAAAAGUAAAGCCCAGCUCUCCUCUUCUGGCUCAAGAAGACAAUAUUCAAGUUCAGAAGAUGUGCUUGGAAGAGAUGCAUGAGGAAAAUCUCAUGAACAAUCGCAAUACGAAACACCCGCCCCAGCCAGAGUACAUCUAUUACGUCUGGCAGAGUUUUUUUGAACAGCGAAAGGAGAUUAUCUUCCUCAGAAAAGAAAAUGAGAGAAAGACUGCUGAAGUAGAUAAAUUAUUCAGCCAGCUUCUUGAAAAGGAAGAUAUUCAGAAGGAGAAAGAAAUGGAACUCCUAGACGUGCGUGGAAGGAACUUUGAGCUCAAAGCAAAGCUUGAUAAAGCAAUAGAAAAACUCAAAGAAAUCCUCCAGCAGAAGAAAAAUGAGAAAGACAAGGACAAAAAGGAUCGGGAGCUGCAAUUAAAGCUUGAUGAAGCUCUGCAAAAAAAUACAGAAAUCCUCCAAGAGAAGAAACGGCAGGACAUAGAACUCCAAAACUUGGGGAUCAAAUACAAAGCAUUGCUUCAAGAGAAAAGCAACAACCGAUCAAACAGAAAGAAAGCAAGCUUGAAGACUCGGAGGAAAACUACAGAGAGCUGAAAACAAAGCUUGAUAAAGCACUGCAAAGAAAUAACCAGACUCUUCAAGAAAAAGAACAACUGGAAAGAAACCAGAGAGACAUGCGGUGCCAACUCCAAAGCAUGGAGGAAAAAUGCCGAGUCCUGGAAGUAAAACUUGAUAAAACUGCAGUGCACAAGCAGAAAUAUCAAGAGCUGCUUCAAGAGAAAGAACAACAGGACAUAAAGCAGAAAGAAGACAAACGUUUACUCCAGGGCUUUGAGAGGGAAAACCAAAAGCUGCAAGAACUUUACAAGAAAAUGAACUACAAAGCAACUGAAAUGGAAGGAGAGAAGGAG
ensembl:lncRNA